CAAGACCUCACACCAAAUUUAACCUUCCUCUCGUGUUAGCUUUCUGUUAUCAUCUCUUAUGUUAGCGGGUCGGUUUUGACCCGUGAAUUAAAUCAGCUAUAAAAUAUACUAAAAACAAUAAGUUAUCAUCCAAUUUGUUUCUCAUCUCUUGGUUACCUUGUUAGGCUUCCUUAUCCAU